rnacentral:rRNA from 1 species
GACGAACGCCGGCGGCGUGCUUAACACAUGCAAGUCGAACGGAAAGGCCCCCUUGUGGGGUACUCGAGUGGCGAACGGGUGAGUAACACGUGAGUAACCUACCCUUGACUUUGGGAUAACUUCAGGAAACUGGGCUAAUACCGGAUAGGAGCUCCUGCUGCAUGGUGGGGGUUGGAAAGUUUCGGCGGUUGGGGAUGGACUCGCGGCUUAUCAGCUUGUUGGUGGGGUAGUGGCUCGCCAAGGCUUUGACGGGUAGCCGGCCUGAGAGGGUGACCGGCCACAUUGGGACUGAGAUACGGCCCAGACUCCUACGGGAGGCAGCAGUGGGGAAUAUUGCACAAUGGGCGGAAGCCUGAUGCAGCAACGCCGCGUGCGGGAUGACGGCCUCGGUUGUAACGACUUUCGCCUGUGACGAAGCGUGAGUGACGGUAAUGGGU